CUAAGAAUCUUCCGCAAUGGGCGAAAGCCUGACGGAGCGACGCCGCGUGGGUGAAGAAGGCCGAGAGGUUGUAAAGCCCUUUUCUGCAUGAGGAAUAAGGCGAGGAGGGAAUGCCUCGCUGAUGACGGUAGUGCAGGAAUAAGCCCCGGCCAAUUACGUGCCAGCAGCCGCGGUAACACGUAUGGGGCGAGCGUUGUUCGGAAUCAUUGGGCGUAAAGGGCGCGCAGGCGGCGGCGCAAGCCUGGUGUGAAAGACCGCAGCUUAACUGCGGGUACGCGCUGGGAACUGUGUGGCUUGAGUUCCGGAGGGGAAGCUGGAAUUCCUGGUGUAGGGAUGAAAUCUGUAGAUAUCAGGAAGAACAUCAGCGGCGAAGGCGAGCUUCUGGCCGUGAACUGACGCUGAGGCGCGAAAGCGUGGGGAGCGAACA
rnacentral:rRNA from 1 species